UACUGCGCCCAACCCACCCACCUACCAGCCAGCAGAGGUCAGUCAGUACAAGAAUAGUAAGGAGUGAGAGUGACGGGUGGUGUCACGUCGGCGUUUUUAUCUCUGUCCCCUUUUUUGUUUUCUUUUUGUGACGUGUACGUGUAUAAACGAAGCAAGUAAAAUAUCUCCCGUCACGUAAAACUGACGAGAGGACAGGUGUCGACAUGCAGCUGGAUUGACCGGGCUGCGGUGCAUCUAACCCUAAAUUUAACCCAGACGCGAGGAGACUUUCUCUCCUUUCUUUCCCCCGACCCCGUGAUGAGGAACAGAUCAGAUCUGGAGGCUCCUCUCGUCUCGCCCCCCCCCCCUCACCCUCGUCUCUGAGGGCUCCACGCCGGCCGGCCGGGCGGCCCGACCUUCGUCUGCCGCCGGCGCCGGCCAUGGUAAUCUAUCGACGUACGUCCUUGUCCGGCUCCCUCUGCUCUCCAUGUACGCGCCGGCCCUUUCUUCCCCAAGCGUUCGUCCUUGCAACUGACUUCCCCGGCCUGCAUGCCUCGCCUCGCCUCGCCUCGCCUCGCCUCAAACUCUUGUCGGUUUGGAUCGAUCGUUUCAAGGCAGGAGGCUUAAUCCAUCAAUUAUCCCCACCAUGAACCGUGAACCGGCCGGCCGUUUCAUGUCGCACCGCCGCCGCGCUCUCAUCCACCUGCCGGCGAACGCCAACAGAUGCAGCCCUGCUGGUCAGAUCCGCUGGCCGCCAACAGGCGGUAUUUCUUGCCGGCCCGCGAGAGGCUCCUGUCCUUCCUCCGGUCAGGUUCGGUGCACAGCUAGCUAGCAGGCAGCGAUCUCAUCUCUGCUCCCUACGUUACUACUACUCUGGAUCUGGCACCUGCUCUAUCUAUUGCAUGUGAAGAGGCAGCGAAUAAAUCGCAUGAGUGUGGACGCGACUGCGUGACCAUGGAUGGGACAUCACCUCCCUCGCGGUACCAGUAGGUACAUGUGGUGGGGCAGGCGGUUAAUCUAUCCUCUCAUCUCCCAUGGACCGUGAACCGGCCAGCCGUUCCCUCUUGUACGUGGUUAAUCGGUCAACAACACCAACCAAGGUGCAACACUUGUCCGUAGCCAUACAUGGUCAAGAUAAGCAGCGUCGAUCCCUCGUCGAAACGUGCUCUUUCUGCAACGAGUGCACUCUUAGCAUGAGUUGUAUGUCUUGCGGGGACUCCACCUGCCCCAAAUGUUGUCUCCCAUGUCUGGAUUAUGGUUCUGAAACAACAAGUUGUUUGUGGAGACAUCCAUCAAUGGUGCUAAGUUCUCAUCUAUAGCUGCUUGCAACAAGACCUUCAAUCAAUCCCUAGAAUCCCUCUGAUCCAUACUAGUUGUCGGUCAAACAGAUGUAUCUCGACGUAUUUCAGUGCUAGAUACAUCCGUUUGAGUGACAAUUAAUAUGGAUCGAAGGGAGUAUAAAAAGGUAGUUACUCGUCUAUCCCAACGUAAAUGAACAAAGUCACUUGUCUUCCUGCUACAAUUGCUCCUUGCAUUGUUUUUUCAGGAUCUAAAGAAGUUUUCUUACUAGACUUGGGGUUAGCCUUACGAAACAUCUCGUUCUUACCUUUUGGGUGGUCACACGAAAGCUCUAUAUCUUUUUUUGUUGAUGUUUCUCUCAUCUAGAUUUAUUCUGAUUUUCCAAUCAACUUCUUCUGGCUUAAUUUGUUUUUAACAACCGGCUUGAUUCUUUUGUAGAAAACAAAAAACAAUUAGAAAAUAUAGUUGUAAAGACUUCAAUUCUCAAGAACUUAAAUGCGAAGAUAAGGUGAAGGGCCUUUGCUUCUUCUUUUGAUUGCACAGGAGCUUAUAAUCGACUUAAAAAACAGGUUUGGUGCUGAUGUGUCCAAAUCCCAUGUUUUGAUGUAAGCUAGACAUCAUUUUCAAACAGUCAUUCAUGGUAGUAGUGAGUAAAGUGACAUUUUAAUGUUGAAACUGUCCCCUGUUAAUUUGUAAAGUUGGUCUCUCCAUCUAUAUCCAAAUAACUUAGCUAGGAGGUAGGAUCAAACGAUUAACCUUUUCAUCAAAUUAGAAUUAGAAGAACUAAAUGGUCAAUACCAUGGCUGAAAUUCUUAAUCAUGAGCUUAAUGUUAUGGAUAUUUUAAAUGUGGCUCAAUCCCAAAAAUAAUCUAAGAGUUUAAUGCUGACCACAAGCAUCAUUUAGAAAGUUCUUUAUAUUUAUAUUUUUUUUGCUACAACUUUUAUAUUUGUACAUGCCAUGUACCAUCAAUUUUUCCUCUAAUUAUACUAUUUUCUAAUGUUGUAUGUAUUAUAGUAUUUUUGUAGUGCUACUAUUCAUCACCCAGGGUGUAGAAUAAGUUAUUCUUCACCCGAGGUAAUCUUACUAUCGCUUCCUAAAUAAAUUACGUUUGAAAUUCAAAAAGUUACAUUCUUAUUGAUUCACUACGUCAAAUUUGGCAUAAGAAAAUAAAAAUGUAGGUCAUAAGACAAUUUUUUUUGUAGUUUAUGUAUAUUUUACUCUAUGUUUUUACGUUUGUAAAUUUACAUAACAUAAAAUAUUUUUUAGUGCUACUAUUCAUCACCCAGGGUGCAGAAUAAGUUAUUCUUCACCCGAGGUAAUCUUACUAUCGUUUCCUAAAUAAAUUACGUUUGAAAUUCAAAAAGUUACAUUCUUAUUGAUUCACUACGUCAAAUUUGGCAUAAGAAAAUAAAAAUGUAGGUCAUAAGACAAUUUUUUUUGUAGUUUAUGUAUAUUUUACUCUAUGUUUUUACGUUUGUAAAUUUACAUAACAUAAAAUAUUUUUUAUGGUGACUAUAUGUUUUCUUACAGUCUCUUUUUACAUCAGAAAUAAGAAAAAAAUUACGGAACAUAAAAUUACGUUGCAUUGAUGGUAAAAUAGAGGGGGGUGAAGAAUAACUAUUCCUCACCCAGGGUGACGAAUAGUCAAUCCCUAUAUAUAUAUUCAUACCCAAAGUUAAUGUUUGUAGCUACACCACAAACCAUUCACUUUUCAGUAGGUUUCAUCUCUGACUUAUUGUCAUGUCCAGUUGUUGAAGAAUACUCCCUCCCUUCCAAAAUUUAGUGCAUAUAAGAUUUUUCCGAGUUCAAACACAUCUAUGUUUGACCAAGUUUAUACGAAAAACUGUGGACAUUUAUAAUACAAAAUAAAUUGAACAUAAAAGUACAUUUCAUAAUUGCGUCCCCCCUUCCCCCUCUUUGUCACAUGAUGAAGUACUAUACCACUUUUUUCAUGUUGUUGUAUUUAUCUUUUGUUGCACCCUAUAUAUCACUUUGACUAGGAAUACUAUUGUAUUUAUUCAUGUUUUAAAACUAAUUGUUUGAAUUCUAUAAUUUUGUUUCUUUUAUACAUAAUUAAUCAUCAAAAUUACAUAUCAAAGAUUGUACUGAACUUGGUUGUCUUUUAUUCCGACUUUAGGUACAGGUCUCUUGGAGCUUCAUUGGCUUCGACUUUGUCUAUUGUCCGUUACGCCAAUGUGAUUGGAACAUCUUCCUGGUGAUUGGUUACGAGUAAUGUUGGGUAUUACAUAUUUUGGUUCUCGAUGUUGACACGGAAGAGUGUUUUUAGCACGAUAGAUGAAAAAUACUUUGGAAUACCCGGCAAGAAACAUGCCACACAUGAUGGAGAAUUACCAGUAAAACCCUUGGAUCAUCAGGGCAAUGAGGCUGAAAGCACAAACCCAAAGUGUCCAGCCAAAUGGGUCACGGCCCGUGCACCCUUCCCUUACAAAAGCUUGCCCUAAUCCGCUGGUAUAUAAGUAUUCUUUCGGUGUGCGUGCAGCAUCCACCCGCAGUCUCCCUUUCAAUCCAAAUCCGCCGCCGCCGCUCUCCGCUGACCAUGGAGCGCCAGCCAAACCGGCGCCGCGGCCGCGCCCCCCAGCAGGUCCACGGCGACGGCCCCCUUCCCCAGGGCGGAGGCCCCCUUCCCCAGCAGGUCCAGGGCGUUGUCCCCGUCGCACAGCAGGUGCCGCCAAACACAGUCCCAGGGGAGUUGCAAUUCAAGGCCUAUGAGUUCAUGAAGUUUGAGCCGAAAUACCUGAAGCUGCCAAGGCGUGCGCCAGCAGUGGAGAGUACCAGGUUUCUUUUUCAUAGAGACACGGACAGGACUGGAAGCACUGUUGGUGAUCUUAUAAAAAGGAAGGCGUACAAUAGGGCUGAGAAGCUGGGAGACAAGAGGAGGCAGUACCUGCAGGUCCUUCCAGAGACCAAGGACAAUGAAGAAUUACUGAAGAAACUUGACAACGAACUGGCAGGGCUGCUGCAUAGCCUGGACAGCGCUAUUGCAGAGCUCGAUGCCGUCGUCCCCGGCAAUUUUGCGCGCCCCAACCACUUCAGCAAGCCUCCAGCCCUGAACAAGUAGGCUGUUGGGUUUUGCAAAACUUUAGGACAGCUUAUGGAUAAUAUUUUGUAAUGCAACGUAAUCGGUUCCAAUGAUGCUUGUUCUGAGAGUAGCUCUAGUCCAUUUGAAAACUAGCCAGGAUAUGUGAUGCAGAUGUUAUUUCUCUCAGGAUAUGUGAUCUAUUCCUCUCAGAUGAUCAAUUUGUUUUAUCCAAUGAAAGACAGAACAAUGCUACACUCA